rnacentral:rRNA from 1 species
UACAGGGGGGGCAAGCGUUGUUCGGAAUUACUGGGCGUAAAGGGUCUGUAGGUGGCCAACUAAGUCAGACGUGAAAUCCCUCAGCUUAACUGGGGAACUGCGUCUGAUACUGGAUGGCUCGAGUGUGGGAGAGGAAUGUGGAAUUCCAGGUGUAGCGGUGAAAUGCGUAGAUAUCUGGAAGGAACACCGGUGGCGAAGGCGGCAUUCUGGGACCGAAACUGACGCUGAGGAGCGAAAGCAUGGGGAGCGAACAGG